rnacentral:rRNA from 1 species
AAUAGAUACCCUGGUAGUCCACGCCGUAAACGUUGGGCGCUAGAUGUGGGGGCCAUUCCACGGUUUCCGCGUCGUAGCUAACGCAUUAAGCGCCCCGCCUGGGGAGUACGGCCGCAAGGCUAAAACUCAAAGGAAUUGACGGGGGCCCGCACAAGCGGCGGAGCAUGCGGAUUAAUUCGAUGCAACGCGAAGAACCUUACCAAGGCUUGACAUAUACGAGAACACUGCAGAAAUGUAGGACUCUUUGGACACUCGUAUACAGGUGGUGCAUGGUUGUCGUCAGCUCGUGUCGUGAGAUGUUGGGUUAAGUCCCGCAACGAGCGCAACCCUCGUCGCAUGUUGCCAGCACGUAAAGGUGGGAACUCAUGUGAGACUGCCGGGGUCAACUCGGAGGAAGUGGGGAUGACGUCAAAUCAUCAUGCCCCUUAUGUCUUGGGCUUCACGCAUGCUACAAUGGCCGGUACAAAGGGCUGCAAUACCGUAAGGUGGAGCGAAUCCCAAAAAAGCCGGUCUCAGUUCGGA